rnacentral:rRNA from 1 species
UACAGAGGGUGCGAGCGUUAAUCGGAAUUACUGGGCGUAAAGCGCACGUAGGCGGCUUGGUAUGUCGGGUGUGAAAUCCCCGGGCUCAACCUGGGAACUGCAUCCGAAACUGCCUUGCUAGAGUAUGGGAGAGGGAAGUGGAAUUUCCGGUGUAGCGGUGAAAUGGGUAGAUAUCGGAAGGAACAUCAGUGGCGAAGGCGACUUCCUGGACCAAUACUGACGCUCAGGUGCGAAAGCGUGGGGAGCAAACAGG